ensembl:lncRNA AABR07026565.1
CCGGCCACCAGGGAAAUGGACACUGCUGAGUGCCUGUGGCCCCUUAGCUACCCAGCCCAGGCUGAUUAUUGAGUUUCAGGCCAAUGAAAGACCCUGCCUUACAACAGGGAAGUGAAGGGCACUUGAGAGAAGACGCCUGUGGUCCUUGUCAUCAUCCUACACAGGCAAGUGUGCACACAAACACUUCUGUGUUCCUGUUUCCAAACUGGAGAAAAGCAAGCUUCCAUAAGAAACAGACUCUCUGGCCUCAGGACUGAAGAAGCAGCAGGAGGUGUGCAUGCCAAGACUCCUUUGCUUGCAAAACAUGCAGGAUUAUAGAGAGCAGUUUUGACAUCACGGAACACUGAAAUUUAUAAAUGAGGUGAUUUGGUUGCCUGACAUCUACUGGAGACUAACCAUGUGUCCCAGAAAGACGAUGAACUUGAGGGAGGAGGAGUUGAGAUGGCAAGAGGGUGAAAGAGUUCCUGUUGACUUUGGGCAGUAACACUGAUAUUCCGGCCUCUCGACAGUGUAACUUGAGAAAUGCUGCUGAGCAGGGUGAGGAAGCCCAUGGAGCCUGUCUGGAGUGCCUCCAGUCCCCAUGUUCCCUUGGGCUGCAGCGGAAAUAUUCUAGGCAUGAGGUACCUGUGGACUCGAAUUCCACACUAGUGACAGUGAGCGACACAUAUGGAGCUGGGGGAAGAUAUCUCAGCAAUCAAGCAGUUGACGCCUCUGUAGUUCUCAGGACCUAAGUCCGGUGAACCACAACUCAGUUGUGGGGGAACCCAACUCUUCCUGUAGGCACCUGAACUCACGCCUGUGUGACUGCACACGUGCACAGCACCAAAGAAAAUGUUCCUUCUUCGUGGUCAUGAGACUAAGUAUUUGGAAUCAUAACAUUUAUGAUGUAGCACUGAACCAUGAUUUUGCGACACCUAGAGCAGCCAUGUGGGUCAACCCUCAGCAGACUAUGGCUUGAAGGAGUUGUCAGUCAUAACUGUCUACAGGCAACCAUGCAUGAGGCAUCUCUCUAUCAUGGGACACUGCUGCAUUGAUCUCCCACCAGAAAACUAAGAGAAACCACCAGCGGCUAAUGGCACUCCAGAGAUAGUUUAAGUUGCUUCUGCAAGACAUCUUGUCAUGUGGUGAUCUACUCAUCUAAGAGGAUGAGGAACUUUUGGAGCGCCGUGGUGACCUUGAAGGUGACAAUGACACCAUCCAUUCCUAGAACAUUGUGACAGCUGCCACCUGAACGGGUAAAAGUGGUACAUGGGGAUCUACCCCCCCCAGAUGGCAGGACGCUCACAGAAGGGUCAGAUGGUGCAGGCACAUGCUGGAAGAGUGACUGGGCAGGCAUGCUGUGUUCUACCUGGAAGACCUAAGAUGGUGCAGCCUGAGACUUCCUGACUGGCCAAUCCUCUGACCUUGGCGAAGACCCUCUCUGCUGCUGAAUGAGGCUGAGCUGCCUGUGACCAUGAGCGGAGCCCCUGCCAUCUGUCCCUGUGUCAUGAGCAUGUGUCCGAGCAUCAUGAUGGGUGCAUGGGGACUUGAGAGCAGAGUGCAGUCCUGGCAAGCGUCCCCUAUCAGUCAACCCCUCCUGGGGUCUCCGAGACUGCAGAGCUGGAACAAGGUGUCCCACAAGGAAAUUGAAGAAUGCAGUGCCCAG